rnacentral:rRNA from 1 species
CCUACGGGAGGCAGCAGUGAGGAAUAUUGGUCAAUGGACGAGAGUCUGAACCAGCCAAGUAGCGUGAAGGAUGACUGCCCUAUGGUUUGUAAACUUCUUUUAUAUGGGAAUAAAACGUUCCACGUGUGGGAUUUUGUAUGUACCAUAUGAAUAAGGAUCGGCUAACUCCGUUCCAGCAGCCGCGGUAAUACGGAGGAUCCGAGCUUUAUCCGGAUUUAUUUGGUUUAAAGGGAGCCUAGGUGGAUUGUUAAGUCAGUUGUGAAAGUUUGCGGCUCAACCGUAAAAUUGCAGUUGAAACUGGCAGUCUUGAGUACAGUAGAGGUGGGUGGAAUGCGGGGUGGAGCGGUGAAAUGCACAGAUAUCACGCAGAACCCCGAUUGCGAAGGCAGCAUACCGGUGCACAACUGACGCUCAGGCACGAAAGCGUGGGUAUCGAACAGGAUUAGAUACCCUUGUAGUC